GACGAACGCUGGCGGCGGGCUUAACACAUGCAAGUCGAAGGAGAAGGAAGGAGCUUGCUCUUUCUGGAGACUGGCGCACGGGUGAGUAACGCGUAGACAACCUGCCUAUAGCUGGGGGAUAACAUCUCGAAAGAGGUGCUAAUACCGCAUAAUGCAGCGGGGCCGCAUGGUCACAGUUGUUAAAGCCUUCGGGCGGCUAUAGAUGGGUCUGCGUGCCAUUAGUUAGUUGGUAGGGUAACGGCCUACCAAGGCGAUGAUGGCUAGGGGGUCUGAGAGGAUGAUCCCCCACACUGGGACUGAGACACGGCCCAGACUCCUACGGGAGGCAGCAGUGAGGAAUCUUGCGCAAUGGAGGAAACUCUGACGCAGCCACGCCGCGUGCCGGAAGAAGGCCCUAUGGGUUGUAAACGGCUUUUAAUUGGGAAGAAGGAUAGGGUUUUGAUCUUAUUUGACGGUACCGAUUGAAUAAGCACCGGCUAACUCCGUGCCAGCAGCCGCGGUAAUACGGAGGGUGCAAGCGUUGUCCGGAAUCAUUGGGUGUAAAGGGUGC
rnacentral:rRNA from 1 species